rnacentral:rRNA from 1 species
CGAACGGGAAAUAUUUCAUUGAGACUUCGGUGGAUUUGAUCUAUUUCUAGUGGCGGACGGGUGAGUAACGCGUGGGUAACCUGCCUUAUACAGGGGGAUAACAGUCAGAAAUGGCUGCUAAUACCGCAUAAGCGCACAGAGCUGCAUGGCUCAGUGUGAAAAACUCCGGUGGUAUAAGAUGGACCCGCGUUGGAUUAGCUUGUUGAUGGGGUAACGGCCCACCAAGGCGACGAUCCAUAGCCGGCCUGAGAGGGUGAACGGCCACAUUGGGACUGAGACACGGCCCAGACUCCUACGGGAGGCAGCAGUGGGGAAUAUUGCACAAUGGGGGAAACCCUGAUGCAGCGACGCCGCGUGAAGGAAGAAGUAUCUCGGUAUGUAAACUUCUAUCAGCAGGGAAGAUAGUGACGGUACCUGACUAAGAAGCCCCGGCUAACUACGUGCCAGCAGCCGCGGUAAUACGUAGGGGGCAAGCGUUAUCCGGAUUUACUGGGUGUAAAGGGAGCGUAGACGGUGUGGCAAGUCUGAUGUGAAAGGCAUGGGCUCAACCUGUGGACUGCAUUGGAAACUGUCAUACUUGAGUGCCGGAGGGGUAAGCGGAGUUCCUAGUGUAGCGGUGAAAUGCGUAGAUAUUAGGAGGACACCAGUGGCGAAGGCG